rnacentral:tRNA from 3 species
UGGGGAGUCGUCUAGUGGUAGGACGUCAGACUCUGGAUCUGAUUGCGAGGGUUCGAAUCCUUCCUCCCCAGCCA